AUGAUAUAUUUGAUAAAAUAGGGGGUUUAUAAUAACCAAAAAGGGAGAAAUCUGACCACAAAAGCUAUCAGAAGACCCCAUCUAGCAGCUAGGUGAGCCAAUUUAUUGUUGUUUCCUGGGGUCCAAGCAAAAGUUACAGAAUUGAAAACAGGAUACAAUUGUAAUAUUUUCUUGAUGAAAACAUUUGCAGAGCAUUGGAAAGAGUGAGACCUCGGAUUGUUAAGACCUUGAACAAUGCUUUUGGCGUCACUUACGAACAAAACAUAUCGGAAACCGUCGGUAAAGGCGCGAGACAAAGCCCUAAAGUUGCAGCAGCUUCAGCAGCUUCUGCAAUAUCUAUCCUCUCUUUCCAAACUUCAACUUUAAGAACUUCGCCAACAUGGUUCCUCACUACAAUACCGAGGCUAGCGAAAUCCUUCCCUAUCAAAGCGUCCGAGUUAAUUUUGAUGAUCCCAAAAGGGGGAGGGGACCAUGUGGUUGCUUGAUUUCCAGUGGGGACUGGCUGGUUUGCUGGGGUAGGCCUGGUCAUACAAAAAUCUUCAAAUUUUCUGUUAAUGAGCCUGACUUCAUCUUCCAGAGAACUUCUUUUACCUUCACAAACGAGCUUAUUCCUGAUUUUCCAGAUACUCCAAUAUAAUCACCGCAUACAGAGUAAAACCGUCGUUCUACGAGGAUAUAAAAAUACAUUUUUAAAUAAUAAAAGUCAAGUUUAAAAAAGACUCCAUUAACUUAAAAAAAAAAAAAAAUCCAAAUACAAUAUAAACGAAUUUAAUCAAUAAAUUUGAUGGUUCACAUCAACAGGAUGUCUAAUGGUGAAGAAAUCUGGCAAUCCAAGGGAAAAUCAAAGAAAAAAAAGAUGACUUUAUCUUCUUCACCAUGUGAACAGCCACGUUUCAAGCUUCCAUACGCGGCUUCAAUUUGACCUCUUUCAUCUCCAUUAAAAUCAACUCAACUACGAAUAUAUAUAUAUAUAUAUAUAAUACUAGUUCUGAAAUACAGGCUUGGAAAUAUUUAAAUGCAAGCAAAUCAGAAAAAUUCAGAGGAAAGGAUUGGAGUUUGACGAUAUUAUUUGAAAUUCUUCCAAAUGGCGAAAACCAUGGGGCAUUGUCGAUGACAACGUUAUCGAGGAAGAGGAGUGUAUGGAUGUCGGAGUAAUUCUGGAAGUGGUUGGGAAGACGAACGACUCUGUUUAACUUUGUAUCCUGCGAUUGUGGGAUAAUGAUAACCCAUACAUACUUUCUGAGGAGAAUUGAUCCGGUUGUGGAGGGGAUAAAGAUGUGGGUCCGGAUUUUAUAAUCCAACGGAUAUACAGCACCAAAUAGGAGAUGAGGAUAUUAUCCCACAACCCAAACAAUGCCGAAAUCAGAUGUUAAGUGUCCCGGAGGUGGCCGGCUAAAAUGUUGGGGAAUUUGGUCCAAUAUUUUUAUUUUAAAGCUCCUGCAAAGUCUGCUCCUGUAAAGUUUACUCCUGCAACCUAGCUACUCUCUUCUCUUUCAUCAACGUUUACUUCUUCUUUUUUUCCUUCCUUUCUUUUGUCUUUUCCUCACUUUUUUUUUUUAGUUUAUUUUUUGUUUACUUUCUUUUUCACCACCUCUGUGCAAUAUCUUUUCUCCUAUCAAAACCCACCAGCUCUUCUUUUCUCCUUCAUCAAUAUUUUACUUUUUUUUUUUUUUUUUGUUUCUUCUUCCUUUCUUUUGUCUUUUCCUCAUUUCCUUUUUUUGUUUCUUUCUUUUCCACCACCUCUUUGCAAUAUCUUUUCUCCUAUCAAAAUCUAGCUCUUCUCUUCUCCUUCAUCAACAUUUUAUUUGUUUUUUGUUUUUACUUCCUUUCUUUUGUCUUUUCCUCACUUCUUUUUUUAUUUUAUUUUAUUUUUUUUGCUUUUCUUUUCCACCAUCUCUCUACAAUUUUUUUUUCCCUAUCAAAACCCUAGAUUUCAAGAAAAAAAGGGGAAGACCUAGAAAAUAUGGUCCUAAUGGGCCUGUUUCUUUGGGAUUGUCACCCAUGUUUGCUCCUUCUUACCUCACACACGGUUCAACCACAUCUUCUCAGAAACAGAGUAGGGGCGGCCACCUAGGACCGGAAUGAAACAACAUCAGCUAUGCUUGAGAAUGAGAAUUUGUAUCUCUAUGGACUUCCAAAUGAGACAUGGGAAGUUAAUCUACCUGUUGAGGAGGUGCCUCCUGAGCUUCCAGAACCAGCCUUAGGUAUAAAUCAUGCUAGGGAUGGGAUGCAAAAGAAGGAUUGGUUGUCACUAAUUGCAGUUCACAGUGAUUCAUGGUUGCUUGUUGUUGCUUUCUAUCUUGGUUCGCGCUUUGGUUUCUAUUAUGGAUUAGUUUACUCAUUUUAGGUGAAAAGAAAAGAAAAAAAAAAUAGUCAAUGCAAUUGUUAAACAAAUAUUUAUUUUAGAGCACGUUACCCUUUUCCGGUGCUGUUUCACAUAUAAUAGUGGAAUUGAGUGCCCAAUUCAUACUGAAAACUUCUUGUAUUGUGAGAGCAAUCAUAUGCUAUCUUUUGUAUAUAUUUUGUAUAUUUGAGCUUUGUUGGUUGACUGGAAAAACACAUUAUAGAUGCUCAUUUACAUUCACUUCGCAAA